CUCAGUUUGAAACUUCAUGUAGUUACGUAGAAGCUACACUUGAAGAGUUUCUGACCUGGAACUGUGAUCACUCUAGUAUUUCUGGACCAUUUAUAGAUUAUGAUUAUUCCAAAUUCUGGGCUUAUGCUGACUAUAAAUAUGUUGUCAGUCUAUUUGAAGACAAGACAGAUAUUUUCCAGGUAAAUAUAUCAAACCU